AUUGAACGCUGGCGGCAGGCUUAACACAUGCAAGUCGAGCGGAGCGAGGGUGCUUGCACCUUAGCUUAGCGGCGGACGGGUGGGUAAUGCUUAGGAAUCUGCCUAUUAGUGGGGGACAACAUUCCGAAAGGAAUGCUAAUACCGCAUACGCCCUACGGGGGAAAGCAGGGGAUCUUCGGACCUUGCGCUAAUAGAUGAGCCUAAGUCGGAUUAGCUAGUUGGUGGGGUAAAGGCCUACCAAGGCGACGAUCUGUAGCGGGUCUGAGAGGAUGAUCCGCCACACUGGGACUGAGACACGGCCCAGACUCCUACGGGAGGCAGCAGUGGGGAAUAUUGGACAAUGGGCGGAAGCCUGAUCCAGCCAUGCCGCGUGUGUGAAGAGGGCCUUUUGGUUGUAAAGCACUUUAAGCGAGGAGGAGGCUACUGGUACUAAUACUACUGGAUAGUGGACGUUACUCGCAGAAUAAGCACCGGCUAACUCUGUGCCAGCCGCCGCCGUAACAC
rnacentral:rRNA from 1 species